CAGCCGCCGCGGUAAUACGUAGGGUGCGAGCGUUAAUCGGAAUUACUGGGCGUAAAGCGUGCACAGGCGGUUUUGUAAGACAGGCGUGAAAUCCCCGGGCUCAACCUGGGAAUGGCGCUUGUGACUGCAAAGCUAGAGUGCGGCAGAGGGGGAUGGAAUUCCGCGUGUAGCAGUGAAAUGCGUAGAUACGCGGAGGAACACCGAUGGCGAAGGCAAUCCCCUGGGCCUGCACUGACGCUCAUGCACGAAAGCGUGGGGAGCAAACAGGAUUAGAUACCCGUGUAGUCCCUGUCUCUUAUAC
rnacentral:rRNA from 1 species